AUUGAACGCUGGCGGCAGGCCUAACACAUGCGAGUCGAGCGGAGGAAGGGAGCUUGCUCCUGGAUUCAGCGGCGGACGGGUGAGUAAUGCCUAGGAAUCUGCCUGGUAGUGGGGGAUAACGUCCGGAAACGGGCGCUAAUACCGCAUACGUCCUGAGGGAGAAAGUGGGGGAUCUUCGGACCUCACGCUAUCAGAUGAGCCUAGGUCGGAUUAGCUAGUUGGUGGGGUAAAGGCCUACCAAGGCGACGAUCCGUAACUGGUCUGAGAGGAUGAUCAGUCACACUAGAACUGAGACACGGUCCAGACUCCUACGGGAGGCAGCAGUGGGGAAUAUUGGACAAUGGGCGAAAGCCUGAUCCAGCCAUGCCGCGUGUGUGAAGAAGGUCUUCGGAUUGUAAAGCACUUUAAGUUGGGAGGAAGGGCAGUAAGUUAAUACCUUGCUGUUUUGACGUUACCAACAGAAUAAGCACCGGCUAACUUCGUG
rnacentral:rRNA from 1 species